GAUAGAUAGCAUUGCAAAGUUGAUAAAUGUUCCGUGCUAUAUAUUCUCACAGAUACACACAGUAGAGGGAAUAUAAACAAGGCUAUGAAGCAUACAAAGAAGAGAUUCUCUUUCAUUUCCCAGACCCUUGCUGAAUUCUUUCACCCACAGGAUCUCAUUAAAGCCUCAGAAACACCUUGUAAUCUGGCCUCUGACUCUUUGGGUGUCAGUCUCAUGGAUGUGGACAGAUUUCUGUACCUUUCAACUAAAAGCAAGAUGUCUACUCUGAGUUUAUUUUUAAGGUAAGUGCCUGUUCUCAAAAGGUCAAAUGAAGAAUAACUACCUUUUAAUAAUUAUCCACUAUAGUUUGGGCUAAGUCUGUUAGACACAUUUCCUCAGAUGGAAGUCUUGAUGAUCUGGCGAAGCAAAUACUGUUAGUGUUCAAUUCUGUAGGUGAGAACAGGAACAUUGGGACACCAGAGAGAUUAAGCAAUGUACCCAUUGUCUAAGACUGAAAGUAGAGAGUAUUUUUUCACCAUAUUAGUGUUGUUGGGCUUCUUACUAUUGUCCCCAUGUUGCUGUGUCUCGGGAUGGCCCUCAGUAAAUAGCUGUCCCCUCCAAAUAAAGUCAGGCAGUGGUGCUAACCACUCACACUAUUGCAGAAAUCCAGGGUAAGACCACAAUCGUCAGGCAUCUUGAGGACAAAAAUAAAGGAAUGGUUGCCUCAGAAGGAUAGACAAGAACAGACUAAGGGUAUUUUCAGUGAGGGAGGGGCUCACUGGGAAAAGGGGAUUUUGCUAAGGGUAAGCUGCUCAUCUUUAAGGACAGCUUAUCUUCUUUUUAUCCUUGGCAUUUCUGUGGUUCAGAGCAGAGUGUAUGCCUCAGCUAAGUACUGUGUAGAUGUGGGAGGAGAAAUUCCCAGAAAGAAGCUGCAACUACAAAGUACUGACUGACUUAUUAGAACAUCAAUGAUGUAGAGAAGUUGGAAUGUUGUAGAUCCAGAAUCAUGGUAUCUUGAGUCAACUUUAGCCCACUCUGUUGCCCAAGCCUUUAUGAGACCGAACAUUCUUGCACCUGUCAGGUAAAUCCUUUUGGAAUGUAUGAACAGACCCUAGUUCCCACCAUCUGAAAGGCUAAGAGCAUCAUCAGACAGCAUCUGAGACGUACAGAAAAAUUGCCCUGCUAUGCUGCAACCCACCUCUCUGGUGUUUCCCCCAAUGUAUUUGAAAACUGUCUUGAUUUAUGAUAUUCUUGUUCUGUAACUACAUAAAGCUCAUAAAACUACUACCAUCUUAGAAUGUGGAGUAACAUAAAUCUGCAUUUUUUAGCCAUGGCCAGGGAAUUAUUUUUGUCCAGAAUAAAGUAGCUCUCAGUCCUGCUAAGGAAAGAGCUAGGUAUCCUGUUUCAACAAUGACGAUAGUAUGUUGGGGACAUUCUUUCAUUGCCUUCCCAGUCCCCCAUCCCCUGGACUAACAAUGACUUAGGCAUCUUGUAGGUUUGUCUACUUACCACAAAUUUUAUGCAUCUGUCAUAUAUAGCUAUUUCUUUGCUUUCAGGCUAGAAAAAAGGAACCCCUGAGCACAAGUCUUGUGCAUAGUGUGUGUCCAGUAUGUUUGGCUCAUGAACCAAGAAAGGAAAUAAAAAUCUUUGCCACUGUUCUUUGUAAUGUUAAAUCUUUCCACCAGAGCUGCUGGAGCCCUGCUGCCACCUGGGCGCUUUCCGCCAAGCUGCCUAUGAUGAGUCUUUAUUCCAUCCACUCGAGCCCUGCCACCAUGAGGGUGCCCAGAAUAACACACACAGAUUCUUAUGUUAGUUUACAAUGCUGCUUGGCCAAUGACUAGGAUUUCUUAUAUGCUAGCUCAGUCUUAAUUAUCAUGAAUCUAUAUAUCUUAUAAGACUUAUCUUAUCGAGGACACCUUCCACUGGCAUCCUCUUCCUGCGAUCACAUGGCAGCUCUGAAGAGAGGAGGAAGAGCAAGAGCAAGAGAGCAAUUUCCUGCUUAUAUUCUGAGUCUGCCUGCUAUUUCACUUCCUGCCUGGAUUGAAAGACUUAUAUUUACUACAUUUCCCAGAAUCCUCCUUGACUCCUAGUCCCACUUAACUUGCUUCUUCAUUGGCCAACAGUACUUUAUUCAACAACCAAUAAGAUAAACAUACACAGAAGGACUUGCCCCAUCAGUUCUUGUUUAAAAGGCAACUCCCUGAAGUCCUAGGAAACAACAUUAUAACUUAAACCAAUGGUUUGCCAUUAAUGAAUUAUUUCCUUAUAUUAACAGCAUUUAAAUGUAAAUGAUAUAAAAAUUCUCUAAUAUAUAUAAUGUUUCUAAAUAAUUUGCUUUUUUUUUCUUGUCAUGAAAAAUUCUCAAUCUGUUUAAGUAAUAUAAAUGUUUUAAUUGCUUUAAUAUUAAAAAUACCCACAAGUGUUUAUCUGGAGUUUUAUCUUCUUCUAUUUAACUUACAACAGUAUGUAGUAUGACUGUCUUAGUUAGGGUUCUAUUGCUGUGAAGAGGCACCAUGACCAUGGCAACUCUUAUACAGGAAACAUUUAAUAGGGCUGGCUUACAGUUUCAGAGGUUUAGUCUAUCAUCAUCAUGGCAGGACAUGGUGGCAUGCAAGCAGACAUAAUGCUGGAGAGAGAGCUGCUACAUGUUGACUUGAAGGCAACAGACAACAGUCUGUCUGUCACACUGAGCAAAACUUGAGCAAAAGAGACCUCAAAGCCUGCUCCCACAGUGACACACUUCUUCUACCAAGGCCACACCUACCCCAAUAAGGCCACACCUCCUAAUAGUACCACUCCCUAUGGGCCAAACACGUGAGUCUAUGGGAGCCAUUCUUAUUCAAAACACCACAAUACCUAUUAUCAAGACAAUCUUACUAUUUGGGUAUACUGGGGAAAAGCACUUGAGAAGCUUCAUUAACUCAAACAAGGAACUGAUGUCCUAUUUGGUAAAUUGCUGUUCAGUGUUCUAGUAGUGUGAUCCCAUUGGAACCAAAGUCUUGGCUGAGAUCUGGAAAUACCAGUAACCUGGUGUGUCUCUGAACAAGAUGAACCCACACUCAUCAGAUGGUUUUAUUCUGGAAGCAAAACUACUCCAUAGUUCUGUAUAAAGUGUGCUUUUGCAAUUCAUAAUUAGCUAUCACCACUCAUCCAUAAUAGACAAUGAAGUCACAUUCAUUUGCCCCCCCCACACCACUCUGUCUCUUCACUACUUCCCUCCACUCCUCUGAUCAAGAAUCAUUUU
rnacentral:lncRNA from 1 species